AGGGGCUAUUAAGGAGCAGAUAGCAAAUUUAUAAAAAAGGAAGAAAACAAGCUACAUAACAAUUUCAGAUAAUUGUGGCAAUCCUAAGGGAAACCUUAUUUAUUAUUACUUCCCGAAGCAAAACAUUGUAGUAGGGAAAGGAAAGGAAAACAACCGUGACUCUGAAAGUAACGGCGAGUGAAAUCAGAUUAGCCUAUCAAUAAUGAAUAUAAUUUAACCACUAAUGGAAAUUAGUAAACUUAUUUCUAAAAAUAUCUUUAGAUAAAGUAGACCAAAGAAGGUAACAGUCCUUGUAAAUUAUAUCAUAAUUGUUAAACAAGUACGAUGAGAGAUAACUUGUCGGAAUAUAGGGGAACCAUCCUCUAAGGCUAAGUAUUAUAAAUUUAGCGAUAGCGCAAAGUACCGUAAGGGAAGUGUAACUUCUAAGUCUGAAAACUUAGAUUGUAAAUUCUAUGAAUUAGUAGCUCUAUAAGCAGUCGGAAUUUGUACAAAUUUUAAUUAUUUUGUAAGAAUGACGGCGUACCUUUUGCAUAAUGGGUCAGCAAGUUAAUAGGAGUAGCAAGGUUAAAAGCCCUAGCGAAAGCGACUGUUCUUAUAAUAUAGUAGUACUCGGCCCAGCCGCUUAUUAUUAUAGAGAAGCGGGAUUAGUUGCUCGUAUUAGACCCGAAACGAGGUGAUCUUUCCAUGGCCAGAUUAUAAUGGAUCGAACGGUUGAAUGUAGCAAAAUUCUCCGAUGAGCUGUGGAAAGGGGUGAAAGGCCAAUCUAACCUCGAGAUAGCUGGUAUUCCACGAAACAUAUUUUAGUAUGACAUUUACAAAAACGCUUUAUAAGCUUUGGCUUAAUAGAGUAAGAUUUAUGGAGGUACAGCACUUUGAAUUCCAUACAUAAGUUUAAUUGGGGGGCCUAAAAAUCCUACCUUUGGAAGUUAACCUCGGAAUUACAUAAAUUGAUAGUAGAUAUUCAGACUGCUCAUGAUAAGGUGGGUAGUCGAAACGGAAACAGCCGUGAGCAUGAAUUAAGGUCCCGAAAUGAUUAUUAAGUGAAAUUAAGGAAGUUAUUCUCCAAAUACAGCUAUGAAGUGUGCUCGGUAGUGGCAAUCUUUUAAUGAACGUAUAACAACGCAGUAGUCUAAUGGAGCUUAGCGCCGAAAAUUUAACGGGUCUAUAUAAUCUACCGACAUCAUGCCGCUUUAUAGUUUUCUAUUUCUAAUAGAACAAGAAGACUUAGAGUUGGGUAGUGGAACAUUCAGGACGGUUGAUAAACAGUGUUUCAUUGUUUUGACGAAACUGAAGAGAUAAUGCUGACAUGAGUAACGAAGAAAGAAGUUUUAAUACUUCUCGCCGAAUACGAAAGGGUUUUGGGGCAAUAUUGAAUAACUCCAUCUUAAAGCGGCCUCUAAGGAACAAAAACCAAUGUUUUGUCUGAUGAGUUUACCACAGAAAGCCCUAAAUUAAUAAAUAUAUUUAUGGAGAGUGCCUGCCGUAAGGCGAUGGCGCGAUUUCUCUUGGAUAUAUUGGGGCCUUGAAAAAAAUGUGGUCAUCUACCGUACCCUAAACCGACACAGGUUCGUAAGUAGAGUAUACUAAGGCGCAGAGAUAAUACUUGUAAAGGAACUCGGCAAGUUGUCCUCAUAAGUUAGACGAUAAGAGGAACCAUUGAGAUAAUAUCUCCGGUGGUGUCACAGAAUCGGGGGCCACGACUGUUUACUUAAAACACAGACACCUGCUAUGAUUAAUUUAUUUGUAUAGGUGUUGAAUUUUGCCCAAUGCCAUUAAUAUAAAGGAGGCGAGUAAUCUUGCUGACUGAAGUUCUGGUCAAUGGCGGUCUUAACUAUAAGGAUCCUAAGGUAGCGAAAUUUAUUGUCCGUUAAAUGCGGUCCUGCAUGAAUAAAGUAACGAUGGUCCCACUGUCUCUACAAGUAUCUCAGUGAAAUUGAAUUACCCGUGCAGAUGCGGGUUGCCUCCAGGUAGACGGGAAGACCCUAUGCAGCUUUACUGUAGUUAGUUAUCACGUUUUCUCGAUUUUAGGUGUAGAGUAUAAGGUAGUCGACAAGACACAGGUGAAACACCUUAACUAAAAUUGAAUUAAUGUUAACCUUUUUUCAAGGGAAAUAUGACUAAUUGGCAGUUUGUCUGGGGCGGACGUCUUUAAAAAAGUAUCAAAGACAUCCUAACACUAAAAUGUUUAAGGACAUUUUAAUAUUUUUUAUCUUUAAUUUGUUAAAGAUAGAUACAAAUAUUAUGUUUAUUUUAUUAAAUCAUAAGGUAUGCUUAAAUCGGAUGGAAACCAAUAAACCAUGUAAGGUUUAAUAAUGUGUAAUGGCUAAAGCAUGCUUAACUGAAAGACCUAUAAGUCGAUCAGAUACGUAAGUAGGGCAUAGUGAUCCGGUGGUAUAUCAUGGAAUAGCCACCGCUAAAUAGAUAAAAGUUACGCUAGGGAUAACAGGCUAAUAGUCCGCGAGAGUUCAUAUUGUCCGGACUGCUUGGCACCUCGAUGUCGACUCAUCCUAUCCUCCGGGUGCAGAAGCUCGGAAGGGUUCGGCUGUUCGCCGAUUAAAAGGGUACGCGAGUUGGGUUUAAUACGACGUGAGUCAGUAUGGUCCCUAUCUUCUGGAGGGAGUAAUAGUAAAAAGGGGAUGGCCUCUCAGUACGAAAGGAUCAGAUGGCUGUGUUUCUCUAGUGUACCAAUUGUUGGAACGCCUGCGUUUCUGGCAUUGUUGGGUAGCCACAAACAUAACGGAUAAGCGCUGAAAGCAUAUUAAGCACGAAACCGACCUCUAGAUACUAUCAUUCAGUAGUAUAAUUUAUUACUGAUAAGAUAAGAAAUAGAUCAUUUCUCAAUAGUGAGCAUGUGUAAUUGUUGUAAGACAUUUAGCUUAGCUUUACUAAUUUGU
rnacentral:rRNA from 1 species